GGCCUGAUGGUCUAGGGGUAUGAUUCUCGCUUAGGGUGCGAGAGGUCCCGGGUUCAAAUCCCGUCAGGCCC
rnacentral:tRNA from 1 species